CGCCGCCUGACUCGAGUGACGUUCGCGCCCCUUUUUCUUUCUUAAGACGCGGAGAAGGAGGUUCGUUCCGCCAGAAACAGCGUGCGUGCAGGAGCCGGGGGUUUUAACUCGUGAUGAAGAGGAAACGGAGGUCCCGGGCGGGUCCAGCGGUUAGGUAAUUAAGGCUCUGAGAGCCCAACUCUCUUGGGCACAGCUGAGAAGUGGUCAAGUCAGAAUUGGAACCCACGUUUGUGCUCCUUCCACUACACCAACUACCUGCCCAAGGACCUUGUACGAGCUGUUGGCAGAUCACCUCUUCAUUCGUUCAGUUAUGUACUGAGCAUCACCGUGUACCAGGCCUACUCAACACUUGGGAAAAAUUGGAGCAAGAGUCGGUACCUACUCAGUGGAUCUUAAUUUCAGGAAAGAUAAGCAGCAAAUAAACGGGGAAACAAGAGUUUGUCGGUGCCAAGAAGAAAGUUUACAGGAUGCUGAGAUAAGAGAAUAACUGGAUGUGGGGACUUUUCCUAGUAGAUGGUCAGGGAAUGGGGUAACACUGAAGCUGAGACCUCUGAGGAAUGAGAAGGAGCUGACUGUUGCAAAUCUGAGGAGGAGAUUUCUGGGCGGAUGGAACAGCAGGUGCAAAAAUCUUAAGAUGGAAAUAAGCUAAAUAUGUUCAAGGACCAGCAGAAUGUUCAUUGUAGUUGGAGCAGAGCAAGUAGAAGGAGAAAAUGACAAAGAAUGAGGUUGGAGAGGUGGACAGAGGCUGUAUCAUACACCCUAGGGUCAUGGUAAUGACUUUAGAUUUUAUUCUAUGUAAUUGGAAGGUUUUAAACCAAAGAGUGAUGCGAACAAAGUUAUGUUUUGAAAGAUCAUUCUGCUAGAUAGAGAAAUAUGGGCAAGCAAAAGUGGAGACACGGAGAGUUAUUAAGAGGCUAUUGCAAUAAUCCAGAUGAGAGAUUAUUUUGAUGCUUGAACUCAGGUAGUGGCAGCAAAGAUGGAGUAGAUGGAUUUAUGGUAUGUUUUGGGAGUAGAGUUGACAGUAUUUCCUGAAGGAUUUGAUAUGGAACGUGAGAAUAAGAAAUUAGGGCGCCUGGGUGGCUCAGUCAUUAAGUGUCUGCCUUUGGCUCAGGUCAUGAUCCCAGGGUCCUGGGAUUGAGCCUCACAUCGGGCUUCCUGCAAGGGAGGAAGCCUGCUCCUCCCUCUCCCACUCCCCCUGCUUGUGUUCCUGCUCUCACCAUCUCUCUGUUAAAUAAAUAAAAUCUUAAAAAACAGAAGAAAGAAAGAAAUCAAGAGUAACUUCUCUGAGUCUGGCUUCAGCAACUGGAGGGACAAUGGUGCCGUUCAGUGAUUGACGGACUUGAUGCAGGUGAAGAUGGGGAAUGCAUGUUUUUUUCUGUCGAGGACAAUUUGAGGAUUUUGUGUGAUUUACCAGAGGGUAAGUCAAGUAAUUGGAUAUAUGUUGUGGUACGGAUGUAGUUGUCCUCUUUGUCGGCCAUACGCCUACUGUACAUUCCUCAGGCCCCUUAAAGUAGGUGUGGCCAUGUGCCUGUGCUCUCCCCAAUGGAAAGUGAACAGAAGAGAUGUGCACAGUUUCCAGGCUCGGCCCAGAAAAUUUGUCAACAGGUGGUCUUACUUACUCUGCCAGCUGGACGAUGAUGAGAAGGUUCUGGAGAAGGCAAGGCUCCAAGAUGGAAGAUUCCUGAGUAGAGGAGAACCGCUGCUCCAUUGACUUAUAUAUCCACCUAGGACUGUUACAUGAGAAAAAAAUAAACUUUUAUUGUUUUGAA